rnacentral:rRNA from 1 species
GACGAACGCUGGCGGCGUGCUUAACACAUGCAAGUCGAACGGAAAGGCCCUGCUUUUGUGGGGUGCUCGAGUGGCGAACGGAUGAGUAACACGUGAGUAACCUGCCCUUGACUUUGGGAUAACUUCAGGAAACUGGGGCUAAUACCGGAUAGGAGCUCCUGCUGCAUGGUGGGGGUUGGAAAGUUUCGGCGGUUGGGGAUGGACUCGCGGCUUAUCAGCUUGUUGGUGGGGUAGUGGCUUACCAAGGCUUUGACGGGUAGCCGGCCUGAGAGGGUGACCGGCCACAUUGGGACUGAGAUACGGCCCAGACUCCUACCGGAGGCAGCAGUGGGGAAUAUUGCACAAUGGGCGGAAGCCUGAUGCAGCAACGCCGCGUGCGGGAUGACGGCCUUCGGGUUGUAAACCGCUUUCGCCUGUGACGAAGCGUGAGUGACGGUAAUGGGUAAAGAAGCACCGGCUAACUACGUG